UACGUAGGGUGCAAGCGUUAUCCGGAAUUAUUGGGCGUAAAGAGCUCGUAGGCGGUUUGUCGCGUCUGCUGUGAAAACUGGGGGCUCAACCCCCAGCCUGCAGUGGGUACGGGCAGACUAGAGUGCGGUAGGGGAGAUUGGAAUUCCUGGUGUAGCGGUGGAAUGCGCAGAUAUCAGGAGGAACACCGAUGGCGAAGGCAGAUCUCUGGGCCGUAACUGACGCUGAGGAGCAAGGAAGAGCAUGG
rnacentral:rRNA from 1 species